CCUUUUGAUCCGUUUUGACCCCAAUGACUGCAAAUCAGAACAAAAGAAAAUUCAAGAAAAUGCAUGCUAACAUGAUGUAUUUAUUUCAUGGGAAGAGGGGAUAUCCUCCUUUAAGAUAUGAGAUGGCCUUCACGUAAAUAGAAAAUAUCCUGGAUAGGAUCUUCUCAUUUUCCAUUCUGCUCUGCAUUAAUUAUUCACAAACUGCUGGAAUUACAUAACAGCAAGCGGCUGGAGGAAUUCUAUCUAUUUUAGGUGCUUGGCAAUUUUGAUUUGCAACAUGGGAAAUAUCUCAACAGCACAAGAAGAGUAAGAAGCCCUAUAAACGCCAGCAUACUGGGAAAUCAAGACAAACUGCUCUUUUCCAUGCUUUAUCAGAGAACUGAAUAUAAAAAAAAGAAAGAAAUGAACAAAACAACUGUGAUACCAAGAGGAAAGCCUUUCAUCAUAAGAAGAGCGAUUUCCUGAGUGGGUGAUUCUGCCUCAUGGGUGUAACUGAUAUGACAGCACCACCUAAUCUAUUUAGGUUUUCUUUCUUUCCCACCUUUCUCCAAUUCCACGGGGAAGAGCUCCAGUUUCUCCACCCUCUUCUCCAGCUCGUACUCGGCAGACGAGGCCACCGGAUCCACCUCCUCAUUCCGGCGGUCGUAAUCCUCAUUGGAUCUGCCAGCCAGCAUAGCCAAGUUGACACUCUUGACAUCUCCUAGACGACACAGGAAUGGAUGUAAGAGACUAAACAAAACCUGACAGUUUGAAGCAUAUCGAUUUGUUCACACACAAUAUUCGAUAAAAACUUCUGGAGACAGUCGUUAAAGUAAGAGCAUCCCACGGUUACCUGUUAACAACUCUGUGAAACCAUGAGUAUGAAAAUCUACACACUUUUUGCUACAGCGGAUGUGCUGUGAGGCUUGUCAUAAUGCUCAAUUCAGUUUUACUGGAGAACUUUCCCACAAUGAGGAAGUCUGCAACCCCAUGUGGAGCGUCUUUUCAGAUUAUUAAAAAAGAAAAUCUUCUGGGAUUUCAUCCAAAACACAUCCAUUUAAAUGGAAAUAUAUUCAUCUGCGCUUGCUGCAGUUUCUAUGCAGCAGUACUUGGAAUUUAAAAGCAGUGUACAGUAUCUUCACUGUGGAAAUGCCAACUUUAAAAAAGGCUUUUUUGAAUCUGUACAAGUGCUUCUUGUUUAGUAAAAAUGAAAUCAUGUACUCCCUAAAUCAUGACUGAUAAAGUUUAAAUGAAAACACCUUUUAAGUUUUGUUUCAGCAGGUGUUACAAAUUUCUAGUCUUAAUGCAACAAACUGACCAACUCUCUACACAGAGAAAAACACAUCAUGUCUGUUUGUGAAACGCCACUAUCUCUGCCAGCUUUGGAGCUCCACUGUAUAUGAGCACUGGACUGAAUGGGGGUGACAUCACCCAUGGAAAAUACCUGACUUCUGGCUCCAGCAAAGUCAAUUCCCUUACCAUUUUUUUGGGAAAACAGACGUCGCCAUGUUGAUGUCAGAUAUAGUCAGAUAUCGCCAGUAAGCAGUCAUUGGUCCGAGUUGGUCAAUUUUUCUAUGGCAACCACCCUCACCAAUCGGAAGUGAGCUUCUUGGAAUGCCACAUCCCUACCGGUUUAAAGUGGGCUUGGGAGAAUCUGUCAAUCAAACGUUUGGAAAAUUCAGUGUGGGAUUGCGUACAUUUAUUGAUGCACCUGAUUCUUUCAUUUAUAACUUGAAUAACUUCCAAUACAAAUAAAAUUCAAUUUAAAAAAAUUGGAUUAGUAAGAACAUGUUAUAAAGGUAUCAUAUCAAUAAUGGUUAUUCUGACAAAUAGAAUGACUAAGUGUCAGCUGUUUAUGUCUCAAUGGAAGUCUGUGGGAUUUUGGCUCUUGGAGCCAGCAGGCACUUCCUGUGUUUGAACGCGAGAGGGGUGGGGGAAGUCACUCAGUCCAGGUCUCAUAUACAGUCAAUGGCUCCAACAAACAGAUUCAGUGGCAGUGGUUUCCUUGGUUUCAAUCACAGCUGAGGUACAUCAAUUCGUUUUUUAAAAAGUGCCUGAGUGUACACACAGAUAUACAAGUAGGACAGAAGGCAGAAAAUCCAGAGUAAAAAACAGAAUGCUGCUUUGAUAGGGGAGCUCACAACCUUUGGAUGGAAAGGGAGAAAUAUCUCUAUCCAUUAACCAACCCUACAUGCACCAGCAGCUCAGUCAUCUAACUGAUGGACAGAUUAACUCUGGAAAGAUUCUAAAGUGGGGAAAAAGAGGUAAAGGCUAAACACAAAGGAAAACAGAGAAAUGAGUGCCAGUAAUAUAGGUAAAAUAUAUAUAGAAAACAAUAUAAAAAGUUAAAAAAUCUCUCGUAUUAAUCAUUAGAUUCAAGCUGCUGUAGAUGGUGUGGGUAUAGCAGCCAAUUGAAAACUGGAGUGGCUUGGAGUUAAAGCCCUGAGUCAUUUUGUCUAAACAGCCUUGAUGAUAUUAUACUGGGGCCUUUGCCUUCCAGACGGCGGGCUUUGCCCAGUGCCACAGGCGGUCCACUUUAGUGUACUUUCUUAUUUUGGUGUCAGUCCAGCAGAGCCUGCAGCAAAUUAACUGCCACCUGGCACAGAGGCAUAAGCAGACCUCUGUUAUUUUUUGUUUGUUUUUUCCUGCUGCAACACCUGAACACAUUUGCAUUUUGACACCUCUACCUUUGGCCACCCACACACAUAACAGCAGGCUGGCGAGCUGAGAGGUGAUGAAGAAAAGUGUCCAGAUUCUGUCAAGAAGAAGUGUUUGCUGAUGAUAGCACCAACAAAGAUUGACAGGCUUUAUGAAGAGAAAAAAAAAUCUCCACUGCUGUUAUAAGAGCAGGAAAAUACAGUCAGACUCGACUUUUUUCUUGACACAAAUCAUCCCAAAUGUGAAUGUGACACUGACAGGCAAUGCAGAGUGGAAGAACGCUGCAUGGAGAGCAGAAACAGACCUCCCACGCAGAUAGACAUUUCCUUUGAGAAACCUUUCUAAAAAUGGUUUUCUGGAAGUCUAGCCAUCGUCUCCUUGAAGCCUUAGUCACAUGCACCCAUACACAGUUGACCCUUACGGGUGCUGCAGGUUUUUGGGAUGUCCAGGCAGGUGGAGGGUUGUAGAGAGGAACGGCUUCACCUUAGUGGGAGCACAGCUGUGUCCAUCAGUUUCCUUGAGGCUCAUACAACCACCUCAAGGGAAGUCAUGAAAAUGGAAUGUACCAUUGCCAUGGAUGUGGUAAGUGUAUCAUGAAGUAUUUGUAAAUAUAAUGUAAGUUACACAACUUUUAAGGUACCAGUGAUGGUGUUGUACGUUGUUGGUAAGGUGCUAGUACUGGCUCCACACAUGGAGUGUGUAGGUGAUACGCAAGUGCCUGUAGAACACCUGUAGGAUGUCCACACAAACUACACUCUGAUUGUCUAGUUUCCUAAAUUCUAACAGUUAGGCUCCACGCAAGGAGCACAGGCAUCAGCACUAACAGGCCCCUUAGCGCAGUGGGCAGGGUUUGUUGGAGGUUAAAACAGCAGACUGUAUACUCUAUUUAAAAUACAGAUACAGCUGUAAUCACUGACAUUGCUUCUAACUGCCCAUCAUGAUGUUUCUACUUGAACUGUUCACGAAUGUACGAUUGUUUUGUUUUUGUCUUGGUACCGGUAUGUACUGUAUGUUGGAUGUUUUGAGUUAAUGUCAAUUUAUUUAUUUAUUGUGUUUUCAACAUUUUGUUAAGUGAUUUUAUUGUGUUUUACUUUUGAAUCUGUACAGUGUCCUUAAGUGUUUUGAAAGGCGCUUUUAAAUAAAAUGCAUUAUUAUUAAUAUUAAAAUUACCAGUUCUGCAGAGCAGGAACCUGCUGAAAAUCAGUUUUUAAACUGAGACAGGCCCGAUACUUUUUCAUCUUUUCCUGUUCAAUAAAUGAAUGAAAGAAUUAAUGAAUGGAUGAAUGAAUACAAAAGUCCAAAGACAAAUCUGUAUGACACCCCUGCAUCUCCCCUACAUCACCCUUGCUUACUCUUACAGUUUACAUUAGGUGUUCAAUACGACGUGUCAUAUACAGGGUGUCCAUAGGAAAAAAGGUUGAUGAACAUUUCCGUCCUUAAGCAAGCACUCUACGACUGAUAUUUCCUGCAUGACAGCUGCGUACCUUGUACACGCUUGCCCAUUUUUCUCCCGCAGACAGCCGGUUUCCACCCAUAAGGGCAGUUGUGACUAAGACCUACAUGCAGAGAUGGGCAACCCCAGGCCUCGAGGGCUGGCGUGUCUGCAUGAUUUCCAGAUACCCAAGUCAUACUCAUGACUGAUUACCUGGAUCAGGUGUGUCCAGCCAAUUAGAGCCUGCCAGAGCAGGGUAUGUUGGAAUACAUGUAGAAAUGCGCCUCUCGAGGCCUGGAGUUACUUAUCCUUAAACCAGUGGAUGCUCAUCUCAUCCACAGCAACUUUUGUGCCACAUUACUACUGAAAGUCAUGACUCCCAUAUCAACCAAGCUACUGGAGAAACUGUCUGACACAGAUUAAAACAAAGAGUGUGAGACUAUUUUAAAUCAAACAGCAAAUUAUCAUAAACGGCGAGUGGGAGGUGGGAAUACAAAGUAGAACAACAACCGGUGCUAGUUGCAGCACAUGGCCACUUACUACACUAUUCACUUAUUAGGAUGCAAAAUAAUGACUUCUACUAGAGGAACGCACAACUUUUGGUGUUUACUAUUGAUACUGUUUGCUGAACUGUCUUUAAGAUUUGGCUGGAUGGUGAGUCUGCCUUGACAAAUGAGGACAUGAGGAUGUUGCAGCAGUCGGAAACCGGCGGCGGAAGCUUUGGAAACGCUCAUGUGACUUUUAGUCUGUUCUGUUUUCCACCCGUCAUAGCAAGCGACUUGUAAAUGUGAAUAGCACGAGAACAGAUUGGGUAAGUGAGUGGGCGCGGGGUGAUACUUCAUGACACAGACUGCUAUGUGGCAACUGACCACCCUCAAAAACCACAAGGCACGGCUCGCCUUUCCCAGAGCAUUAAAAAUGCAUGCUGCAGGGAGGAUUGGGUAGCACGAAACAAGCCAAACAAAAAUACAUCUGCAUUCAUUAUUAAACGAAUAAGAUACUAAUACGCACAGUUUUCAAAGCUGAACCGGUCAGAGAUGAAUAGAGCAGAAAAUGAAUGGGAAUCUUUAAAUUAGUACUGAAAAUAAUCUGUUGCUUAAAGAUGUUUGUGAUAGAUCGUGGCCAUGCUCACACAGAAGGCACCACUGACGAGGAAAACACAGAUCACUGUACAUGUUUGAACUCCAUAUUUGUUCACUUCAAUUACAUUUCUUUAGACUACAGACAAAAGCAAGCACACCACACCUCUUUUCAACGAGGGAG
ensembl:lncRNA